GACGAACCGUGCGAACGUUGUUCGGAAUUACUGGGCGUAAAGGGCGCGUAGGCGGCCAUCUAAGUCAGACGUGAAAUCCCCCGGCUCAACCUGGGAACUGCGUCUGAUACUGGGAGGCUAGAGUUUGGGAGAGGGAUGUAGAAUUCCAGGUGUAGCGGUGAAAUGCGUAGAUAUCUGGAGGAAUACCGGUGGCGAAGGCGGCAUCCUGGACCAAUACUGACGCUGAGGCGCGAAAGCUAGGGGAGCAAACGGG
rnacentral:rRNA from 1 species